rnacentral:lncRNA from 1 species
GAGGGUAUUGUGGUACUGUGGUAGUAUAAAUACACAUAUCAAAGAGUUGGGUACUAUGGUAGUAUAAAUACACAUAUCAGAGGGUACUGUGGUAGUAUAAAUACACAUCAGAGGGUUGGGUACUGUGGUAGUAUAAAUACACAUAUCAGAGGGUACUGUGGUAGUAUAAAUACACAUCAGAGGGUUGGGUACUGUGGUAUUAUAAAUACACAGAGGGUUGUGUACUGUGGUAGUAUAAAUACACAUACCAGAGGGUACUGUGGUAGUAUAAAUACACAUAUCAGAGGAUUGGGUACUGUGGUAGUAUAAAUACACAUAUCAGAGGGUUGGUACUGUGGUAGUAUAAAUACACAUAUCAGAGGGUUGGGUACUGUGGUAGUGUAAAUACACAUAGAGGGUUGGGUACUGUGGUAGUAUAAAAACAAAUAUCAGAGGGUUGGGUACUGUGGUAGUAUAAAUACACAAAUCAGAGGGUACUGUGGUAGUAUAAAUACAAAUAUCAGAGGGUUGGUACUGUGGUAGUAUAAAUACACAUAUCAGAGGGUUGGGUACUGUGGUAGUAUGAAUACACAAAUCAGAGGGUACUGUGGUAGUAUAAAUACACAUAUCAGCGGGUACUGUGGUAGUAUAAAUACACAUAUCAGAGGGUACUGUGGUAGUAUAAAUACACAUAAGAGGGUACUGUGGUAGUAUAAAUACACAUAUCAGAGGGUACUGUGGUAGUAUAAAUACACAUAUCAGCGGGUACUGUGGUAGUAUAAAUACACAUAUCAGCGGGUACUGUGGUAGUAUAAAUACACAUAUCAGCGGGUACUGUGGUAGUAUAAAUACACAUAUCAGAGGGUACUGUGGUAGUAUAAAUACACAUAAGAGGGUACUGUGGUAGUAUAAAUACACAUAUCAGAGGGUACUGUGGUAGUAUAAAUACACAUAUCAGAGGGUUGGGUACUGUGGUAGUAUAAAUACACAUAUCAGAGGGUUGGGUACUGUGGUAGUAUAAAUACACAUAUCAGAGGGUACUGUGGUAG